rnacentral:rRNA from 1 species
CACGUAGGAGGCGAGCGUUGUCCGGAAUCAUUGGGCGUAAAGAGCGCGCAGGCGGCUUGGCAAGUCGGGUGUGAAAUCCCGGGGCUCAACCCCGGGACUGCAUUCGAUACUGUCAGGCUAGAGGUAGGUAGGGGAGAUCGGAAUUCCUGGUGUAGCGGUGAAAUGCGCAGAUAUCAGGAGGAACACCGGUGGCGAAGGCGGAUCUCUGGGCCACUACUGACGCUGAGAAGCGAAAGCGUGGGGAGCGAACAGG